AACGCUGGCGGCGCGCUUAACACAUGCAAGUCGAGCGAGAACCAGGGCUUCGGCCCUGGGGACAGCGGCGAACGGGUGAGUAACACGUGGGUAAUCUGCCCUCGGCAUCGGGAUAGCCCGGGGAAACCCGGAUUAAUACCGAAUAGCCUCCGAGGCCUUCGGGCCCCGGAGAAAAGGUAGCUUCGGCCUCUGGCCGAGGAUGAGCCCGCGGCGGAUUAGCUUGUUGGCGGGGUAACGGCCCACCAAGGCGACGAUCCGUAGCUGGUCUGAGAGGACGAUCAGCCACACUGGGACUGAGACACGGCCCAGACUCCUACGGGAGGCAGCAGUGGGGAAUCUUGCGCUAAUGCGGGAAACCGUGACGCAGCGACGCCGCGUGGGGGAAGAAGGCCUUCGGGUUGUAAACCUCUUUCAGGGGGGACGAAGCUACUCGGGUGAAUAGCCCAGAGGGUGACGGUACCUCCAGAAGAAGCCCCGGCUAACUACGUGCCAGCCGCCGCAGUAACAC
rnacentral:rRNA from 1 species